rnacentral:rRNA from 1 species
AGAUUGAACGCUGGCGGCAGGCCUAACACAUGCAAGUCGAGCGGUAGAGAGGUGCUUGCACCUCUUGAGAGCGGCGGACGGGUGAGUAAUGCCUAGGAAUCUGCCUAGUGGUGGGGGAUAACGUUCGGAAACGGACGCUAAUACCGCAUACGUCCUACGGGAGAAAGCGGGGGACCUUCGGGCCUCGCGCCAUUAGAUGAGCCUAGGUCGGAUUAGCUAGU